rnacentral:misc_RNA from 1 species
GGAAGGAUUAUUGCCGAUGAAAGAGCGCUCGCAAGAGGCUCGACAUCCCAAUCCCACACACUGUGCACUUGAAUCCCAUUACAUUUUUGUAACACUUAUAUUUAAAAGUCGAAUAUGUUUUUAUGAAAAUUAUAAAAACUUUCAGCAACGGAUCUCUUGGCUCUCGCAUCGAUGAAGGACGCAGCGAAAUGCGAUACGUAAUGUGAAUUGCAGAUUUAACAGAAUCAUCGAAUCUUUGAACGCACCUUGCACUCUUUUGUUAUUCAGAAGAGUAUGCCUGUUUGAGUGUCGCGAACCUCUCAACCCCGCCCAGGUAAUACUGGGUUGUUUGGGCUUGGAUCUUGAUCAUUGUCGGCUGUUCGUUAGAAACCGACUUGAUUUAAAUGUAACAAGCUGAAUCAUAACAUUUGCGGCUUGACCUGACGUUGUAAAUCAACUCGUUGGGGACGCAGUGUGUGAAUGAGCUUUGUAAAUAAAUAACUUGCAGUGAUGCAGUACAUUCAGACCUCAAAUCAGGUAGGACUACCCGCUGAACUUAAGCAUAUCAAUAAGCGGAGGAAAAGAAACUAACAAGGAUUCCCCUAGUAACGGCGAGUGAAGUGGGAAGAGCUCAACUUUGUAAUCUGGCUGCUUUGCAGUCCGAGUUGUAGUCUAGAGAAACAUGAUCCGCGUUGGACCUUGCAGAUGUCUGUUGGAAUGCAGUAUCAAAGAGGGUGAGAAUCCCGUACAUAGCAAGGACGCCCAGUGCAUUGUGAUCUGUUUUCAACGAGUCGAGUUGUUUGGGAAUGCAGCUCAAAUCGGGUGGUAAAUUCCAUCUAAAGCUAAAUAACGGCGAGAGACCGAUAGCGAACAAGUACCGUGAGGGAAAGAUGAAAAGCACUUUGGAAAGAGAAUGAAACAGUAUGUGAAAUUGCUGGAAGGGAAACGAUUGAAGUUAGACUUGCGCGGCAUGUAUUCAGCCUUACCUCGGUUUGGUGUAUUUAUGUGUCAUUGCAGGCCAGCAUCAGUUUGCUUCGCCGUAAAAGGGUUUGGGGAACGUGGCUUCUUCGGAAGUGUUAUAGCCCCUUACUGGAUGCGGAGUCGCAGACUGAGGAACGCAGCGCGCCAUUACGGCAGUUUCUUUAGAUUCAAAGCGCUUAGGAUGCUGGUAGAAUAGCUUUAAACGACCCGUCUUGAAACACGGACCAAGGAGUCUAACAUGCCUGCGAGUGUUUGGGUGUCAAACCCGAGCGCGAAAUGAAAGUGAAUGAAGGUGGGAUCUGUAAAAGGAGCACCAUCGACCGAUCUUGACCUAUUGUGACGGAUUUGAGUAAGAGCAUGUAUGUUGGGACCCGAAAGAUGGUGAACUAUGCCUGAAUAGGGUGAAGCCAGAGGAAACUCUGGUGGAGGCUCGUAGCGAUUCUGACGUGCAAAUCGAUCGUCAAAUUUGGGUAUAGGGGCGAAAGACUAAUCGAACCAUCUAGUAGCUGGUUCCUGC